rnacentral:tRNA from 2 species
GGACGAUUAGCUCAGCUGGCCAGAGCGUUCCGUUUACACCGGAAAGGUCCUCGGUUCGAGCCCGAGAUCGUCCA